GUGGGACCUGAGGGAGGCUGGUUGUAAGGAGGCGGGGUCUGAGGUCCGCAGCCAGCCCCAGUCUGCGGCCUGUGUUUCGGGAGCUGUGGGGUAGGCGAGCUGUUUUGAGGACAGACGGGGCGGAGAGCGGAAACAGAACGCUGAGGACCCUCUCCCGGCUUAGCCCACAGGGAGGGCGGCAACCCUGGACCAAAGCUUUUCCUCACGCCUAAGGUGGAAGCGAGGACGCGGAGCCGGGAAGCCGCGGUGGGAUGCGGCUGACGCGGACCCGGCUCUGCUCGCUCCUCGUCGCCCUGUACUGCCUCUUCUCCAUCUACGCCGCCUACCACGUCUUCUUCGGGCGCCGCCGCCGGCCGCCGGGCGCGACCUCUCGGGGCUCCAGGAAGACAGCGGCGCAAGCGAAGGAGAGGCGCGGCCGAGAGCAGUCCGCGUUGGAGAGUGAAGAAUGGAAUCCUUGGGAAGGAGAUGAAAAAAACGAGCAGCAACACAGAAUUAAAACUGGCCUGCAAAUCUUAAACAAAUCCACAAAAGAAAAAAUAGAGCAUCGUGUGCAAAUCUGGGGCAAAGCUGCCAUCGGUCUCUAUCUCUGGGAACAUGUUUUUGAAGGCACUCUCGCUCCUGCUGAUGUGACUGCUCAGUGGAGGGAAGGACAGUCAGUUGUAGGAAGAACACAUUACAGAUACAGGAAGUUUCCUGUGGUUGAAGCCAGCUGGUCCAUGCUGCAUGAUGAGAGACCCUAUAUAUGUAAUUUCUUAGGGACUAUCUAUGAAAAUUCAUCAAGACAAGCACUAAUGAACAUUUUGAAACAAGAUGGAAA
rnacentral:lncRNA from 1 species